GACGAACGCUGGCGGCGUGCUUAACACAUGCAAGUCGAACGGUAGGGCUCCAGCUUGCUGGGGUACACGAGUGGCGAACGGGUGAGUAACACGUGGGUGACCUGCCCUGCACUUCGGGAUAAGCCUGGGAAACUGGGUCUAAUACCGGAUAGGACCGCACCGUGAGGGUGUGGUGGAAAGUUUUUUCGGUGUGGGAUGGGCCCGCGGCCUAUCAGCUUGUUGGUGGGGUAAUGGCCUACCAAGGCGGCGACGGGUAGCCGGCCUGAGAGGGUGGACGGCCACAUUGGGACUGAGACACGGCCCAGACUCCUACGGGAGGCAGCAGUGGGGAAUAUUGCACAAUGGGCGGAAGCCUGAUGCAGCGACGCCGCGUGGGGGAUGACGGCCUUCGGGUUGUAAACUCCUUUCACCAUCGACGAAGGGUUUCUGACGGUAGAUGGAGAAGAAGCACCGGCUAACUACGUGCCAGCAGCCGCGGUAAUACGUAGGGUGCGAGCGUUGUCCGGAAUUACUGGGCGUAAAGAGCUCGUAGGUGGUUUGUCGCGUCGUCUGUGAAAUUCCGGGGCUUAACUCCGGGCGUGCAGGCGAUACGGGCAUAACUUGAGUACUGUAGGGGAGACUGGAAUUCCUGGUGUAGCGGUGAAAUGCGCAGAUAUCAGGAGGAACACCGGUGGCGAAGGCGGGUCUCUGGGCAGUAACUGACGCUGAGGAGCGAAAGCAUGGGGAGCGAACAGGAUUAGAUACCCUGGUAGUCCAUGCCGUAAACGGUGGGCGCUAGGUGUGGGUUUCCUUCCACGGGAUCUGUGCCGUAGCUAACGCAUUAAGCGCCCCGCCUGGGGAGUACGGCCGCAAGGCUAAAACUCAAAGGAAUUGACGGGGGCCCGCACAAGCGGCGGAGCAUGUGGAUUAAUUCGAUGCAACGCGAAGAACCUUACCUGGGCUUGACAUAUACAGGAUCGCGCCAGAGAUGGUGUUUCCCUUGUGGCUUGUAUACAGGUGGUGCAUGGUUGUCGUCAGCUCGUGUCGUGAGAUGUUGGGUUAAGUCCCGCAACGAGCGCAACCCUUGUCUUAUGUUGCCAGCACGUUGUGGUGGGGACUCGUAAGAAACUGCCGGGGUUAACUCGGAGGAAGGUGGGGAUGACGUCAAAUCAUCAUGCCCCUUAUGUCCAGGGCUUCACACAUGCUACAAUGGUCGGUACAGUGGGUUGCCAGUCCGUGAGGGCGAGCUAAUCCCGCAAAGCCGGUCUCAGUUCGGAUCGGGGUCUGCAACUCGACCCCGUGAAGUCGGAGUCGCUAGUAAUCGCAGAUCAGCAACGCUGCGGUGAAUACGUUCCCGGGCCU
rnacentral:rRNA from 1 species